GGCUCAGGACGAACGCUGGCGGCGUGCUUAACACAUGCAAGUCGAACGGUGAACCGCUUUCGGGCGGGGAUCAGUGGCGAACGGGUGAGUAACACGUGGGUAACCUGCCCUCCACUCUGGGAUAACUCCGGGAAACCGGGGCUAAUACCGGAUACGACCUUCUCCGGCAUCGGAGGGGGUGGAAAGUUUUUCGGUGGAGGAUGGACCCGCGGCCUAUCAGCUUGUUGGUGGGGUAACGGCCUACCAAGGCUUUGACGGGUAGCCGGCCUGAGAGGGCGACCGGCCACACUGGGACUGAGACACGGCCCAGACUCCUACGGGAGGCAGCAGUGGGGAAUAUUGCACAAUGGGCGAAAGCCUGAUGCAGCGACGCCGCGUGAGGGAUGACGGCCUUCGGGUUGUAAACCUCUUUCAGCAGGGACGAAGCGCAAGUGACUGUACCUGCAGAAGAAGCACCGGCUAACUACGUGCCAGCAGCCGCGGUAAUACGUAGGGUGCGAGCGUUGUCCGGAAUUAUUGGGCGUAAAGAGCUUGUAGGUGGCUCGUUGCGUCGGGAGUGAAAACCCGCGGCUCAACCGCGGGCCUGCUUCCGAUACGGGCGGGCUAGAGUUCGGCAGGGGAGACUGGAAUUCCUGGUGUAGCGGUGGAAUGCGCAGAUAUCAGGAGGAACACCGGUGGCGAAGGCGGGUCUCGGGCCGAUCGACANGGAAGGAAGAGCGGAAAA
rnacentral:rRNA from 1 species